UACGUAGGGGGCAAGCGUUGUCCGGAAUCAUUGGGCGUAAAGAGCGUGUAGGCGGCUCGGUAAGUCCGCUGUGAAAGUCCAGGGCUCAACCCUGGAAUGCCGGUGGAAACUGUCGAGCUAGAGUCCGGAAGAGGCGAGUGGAAUUCCUGGUGUAGCGGUGAAAUGCGCAGAUAUCAGGAAGAACACCCGUGGCGAAGGCGGCUCUCUGGGCCGGUACUGACGCUGAGGAGCGAAAGCGUGGGGAGCAAACAGG
rnacentral:rRNA from 1 species